rnacentral:rRNA from 1 species
AGAGUUUGAUCCUGGCUCAGAUUGAACGCUGGCGGCAGGCCUAACACAUGCAAGUCGAGCGGUAGAGAGAAGCUUGCUUCUCUUGAGAGCGGCGGACGGGUGAGUAAUGCCUAGGAAUCUGCCUGGUAGUGGGGGAUAACGUUCGGAAACGGACGCUAAUACCGCAUACGUCCUACGGGAGAAAGCAGGGGACCUUCGGGCCUUGCGCUAUCAGAUGAGCCUAGGUCGGAUUAGCUAGUUGGUGGGGUAAUGGCUCACCAAGGCGACGAUCCGUAACUGGUCUGAGAGGAUGAUCAGUCACACUGGAACUGAGACACGGUCCAGACUCCUACGGGAGGCAGCAGUGGGGAAUAUUGGACAAUGGGCGAAAGCCUGAUCCAGCCAUGCCGCGUGUGUGAAGAAGGUCUUCGGAUUGUAAAGCAUUUUAAGUUGGGAGGAAGGGUUGUAGAUUAAUACUCUGCAAUUUUGACGUUACCGACAGAAUAAGCACCGGCUAACUCUGUGCCAGCAGCCGCGGUAAU